CAUGUGGUUUAAUCGAAGCAACGCAAAGAACCUUUACCAGGUCUUGACAUCCGAUGCUAUUCUAGAGAUAGAAAGUUACUUCGGUACAUCGGUGACAGGUGGUGCAUGGUUGUCGUCAGCUCGUGUCGUGAGAUGUUGGGUUAAGUCCCGCAACGAGCGCAACCCCUAUUGUUAGUUGCCAUCAUUCAGUUGGGCACUCUAGCGAGACUGCCGGUAAUAAACCGGAGGAAGUGGGGAUGACGUCAAAUCAUCAUGCCCCUUAUGACCUGGGCUACACACGUGCUACAAUGGUUGGUACAACGAGUUGCGAGUCGGUGACGGCGAGCUAAUCUCUUAAAGCCAAUCUCAGUUCGGAUUGUAGGCUGCAACUCGCCUACAUGAAGUCGGAAUCGCUAGUAAUCGCGGAUCAGCACGCCGCGGUGAAUACGUUCCCGGGCCUU
rnacentral:rRNA from 1 species